rnacentral:rRNA from 1 species
ACUCCUGCGGGAGGCAGCAGUGGGGAAUAUUGGACAAUGGGCGCAAGCCUGAUCCAGCCAUGCCGCGUGAGUGAUGAAGGCCCUAGGGUUGUAAAGCUCUUUCACCGGUGAAGAUAAUGACGGUAACCGGAGAAGAAGCCCCGGCUAACUUCGUGCCAGCAGCCGCGGUAAUACGAAGGGGGCUAGCGUUGUUCGGAUUUACUGGGCGUAAAGCGCACGUAGGCGGACUAUUAAGUCAGGGGUGAAAUCCCGGGGCUCAACCCCGGAACUGCCUUUGAUACUGGUAGUCUUGAGUUCGAGAGAGGUGAGUGGAAUUCCGAGUGUAGAGGUGAAAUUCGUAGAUAUUCGGAGGAACACCAGUGGCGAAGGCGGCUCACUGGCUCGAUACUGACGCUGAGGUGCGAAAGCGUGGGGAGCAAACAGGAUUAGAAACCCUAGUAGUCCC